rnacentral:lncRNA from 1 species
GUUGAAGAGGAGUGGUGAGAGUAGUCUCCUCGUCUUGUUCCAAUUCUCAAAGGGAAUGCUUUCACCUUUUCCCCAUUCAGUAUUAUGUUGGCUGUGGGUUUGUCAUAGAUGGCUUUUAUUACAUUAAGGUAUGUCCCUUGUAUGCCUAUUUUGCUGAGAGCUUUAAUCAUAAAGCAAUGCUAGAUUUUGUUGAAUGCUUUUUCUGCAUCUGUUGAUAUAAUCAUAGAGCCUAGAAAAUAUCACCUAGUGAAUAUCUACUUCCAUGAGUAACACACAAUACAGACUUCAAAAAACCAGAGCUUUUGCUGGGGAUAUAUGCUCCUUCCAAAGGCGAUUGAUUGUGUGCAAUAUUCUGAGAAGUAAUUCCUCCAAAGGUAAAGUGUCGCUAUCUGGGCUUCUGGGAAUAUCCCGAAAAUCCACAUAUUCUAAAAAUCUUUUCCACUACCAACCACCAUAAAUGCUGAACAACAGAACAUGCGCUCAACUGCACAAAUUAUGCUUUGGGGCUUUUGUACACAGUUUUUGCACAGAAAUAUUUAAGUAAAUAUAAAUUAAUUGAAAUGUUUUCCAGGUGGAUAUUGAGGGAGAAACAGAAAAAUCCAAGACAAUCCCUUGUGGAAGAAAAUUCUCCAACCCAAAACUCAACCGAACUCAAAGGGCUGAACAGCGCGUCAAUUAAGACCUGUCAAAUAUAAUCACACGAUCUAAUAGUUUUAAAUACGCAAAAUAAAGAGCACCAAAGUAAAUGUCAUUCAGAAAUAACAACAACAAAACCAGAGCACCCCGAUGCAUUUAGGCCUCAAGGAAUUCCAAAGUAGUGUAUUAGGUAUAGUAAAUAUAUAUGUAAUUAGAAAUGUUUAGAGAAAUUAGAGAGAUGUGUUUUUUUUAAAAGAUUUGGCCUAUAAAACAGUUAACAAUUCCAGUAAAGAAGAAAACAGAAAUUCAAUGUUUGAUAUACAUACAUAAAAAUAAAUUUCAGGAAAAGUCCGUGUGAUAACAGAAUCCAAAUUAUAUAAAAGAUAGAAAUCUCAAUGUUUGUUUUUACACAUUUUAAGGAAAAAACAACCCUGAAAGCACAAAA